AGGGAAUAUUGGUCAAUGGACGCAAGUCUGAACCAGCCAUGCCGUGUGCAGGAAGAAGCUUUUAGGAGUGUAAACUGCUUUUUUAUAAGAACAAAGAGCUCCUGCGGGAGAAGAUGAGAGUAUUGUAAGAAUAAGUACCGGCUAACUACGUGCCAGCAGCCGCGGUAAUACGUAGGGUGCAAGCGUUAUCCGGAUUUACUGGGUUUAAAGGGUGCGUAGGCGGCCUCUCAAGUCGGUGAUAAAAGCUUGGUGCUCAACACCAAAAGUGUUGCCGAUACUAGGGGGCUAGAGUAAAGAAAAGGCAGGCGGAAUUUAUGGUGUAGCGGUGAUAUGCUUAGAUAUCAUAAGGAACUUCGAUAGCGUAGGCAGCUUGCUAGUCUUUUACUGACGCUGAGGCACGAAAGGCGGGUAGCAAAC
rnacentral:rRNA from 1 species